UACGAAGGGAGCUAGCGUUGUUCGGAAUCAUUGGGCGUAAAGCGCACGUAGGCGGUUUGUUAUGUCGGAUGUGAAAGCCCUUGGCUCAACUGAGGAAGUGCAUCCGAAACUGGCAAGCUAGAGUAUGUAAGAGGGUCGCGGAAUUCCCGGUGUAGAGGUGAAAUUCGUAGAUAUCGGGAGGAACACCGGUGGCGAAGGCGGCGACCUGGGACAAUACUGACGCUGAGGUGCGAAAGCGUGGGGAGCAAACAGG
rnacentral:rRNA from 1 species